rnacentral:rRNA from 1 species
GACGAACGCUGGCGGCGUGCUUAACACAUGCAAGUCGAACGGAGAGGCCCCUUUGGGGGUACUCGAGUGGCGAACGGGUGAGUAACACGUGAGUAACCUGCCCUUGACUUCGGGAUAACUUCAGGAAACUGGGGCUAAUACCGGAUAGGAAUCCUUGCUGCAUGGUGGGGGUUGGAAAGCUUCGGCGGUUUUGGAUGGACUCGCGGCUUAUCAGCUUGUUGGUGGGGUAGUGGCUUACCAAGGCUUUGACGGGUAGCCGGCCUGAGAGGGCGACCGGCCACAUUGGGACUGAGAUACGGCCCAGACUCCUACGGGAGGCAGCAGUGGGGAAUAUUGCACAAUGGGCGGAAGCCUGAUGCAACAACGCCGCGUGCGGGAUGACGGCCUUCGGGUUGUAAACCGCUUUCAGCAGGGGCGAAGCUUGUGGUGACGGUACCUGCAGAAGAAGCACCGGCUAACUACGUG